CACGUAGUUAGCCGGGGCUUCUUACUCAGGUACCGUCAUUUCUUUCUUCCCUGCUGAUAGAGCUUUACAUACCGAAAUACUUCUUCACUCACGCGGCGUCGCUGGAUCAGGGUUUCCCCCAUUGUCCAAUAUCCCCACUGCUGCCUCCCGUAGGAGUUUGGGCCGUGUCUCAGUCCCAAUGUGGCCGUCCACCCUCUCAGGCCGGCUACUGAUCGUCGCCUUGGUGGGCCGUUACCCCGCCAACAAGCUAAUCAGACGCGGGUCCAUCUUACACCACUAAUGUUUUUCACUCUGUCCCAUGCGGGACUGUGCGCUUAUGCGGUAUUAGCACCUAUUUCUAAGUGUUAUCCCCCUGUGUAAGGCAGGUUACCCACGCGUUACUCACCCGUCCGCCACUAAGUUAUCAGCUUUUCCACUCUUAGCAAGCUAAUCGCUUCAAAAAUGAUAACCCCGUUCGACUUGCAUGUGUUAAGCACGCCGCCAGCGUUCAUCCUGAGCCAGGAUCAAACUCU
rnacentral:rRNA from 1 species